UGCUUGUAUCAAACAUCGCUACGAAGCCGGUCCCGUUUGGGGGUGUGCUUUGGGGAAAGUCCUCGGACGGCCGUGUUUCACAUGGUUUCACUGAAAGAGUGGCGCUUUAAUUGCGUUUGGUGCCUUUGGCAUCCUCUCGUCAUAUUGAUAGUAAUGCGAUGGGCGGAAAGUGAUUUCUGCUAACUCAAUGAGGCUUACUUGGUACAAGC
rnacentral:RNase_MRP_RNA from 2 species